rnacentral:rRNA from 1 species
AACUUUGUCUUUAUGGCAAAUGUUAGAUGCAGUGUAUGGAAUAUCAAAUUUCUAGUAUGAGAAAUUAACGAUUUAAGUCCUUCUUAAAUGAGGCCAUUUACCCACAGAGGGUGCCAGGCCCGUAUAACGUUAAUGAUUACUAGAUGAUAUUUCCAAAGAGUCGUGUUGCUUGAUAGUGCAGCACUAAGUGGGUGGUAAACUCCAUCUAAAACUAAAUAUAACCAUGAGACCGAUAGUAAACAAGUACCGUGAGGGAAAGUUGAAAAGAACUCUGAAUAGAGAGUUAAAUAGUACGUGAAACUGCUUAGAGGUUAAGCCCGAUGAACCUGAAUAUCCAAUAUAGAAAAUUCAUCAUUAAGAUUUUAAUAUUUGUUAAUAUUUUAAUAAAAGUGUGCAUUUUUUCUAUAGAGGACAUUGUAAUCUAUUAACAGAUAUUUUAUUUAUCAUAAGAUCAAUUGCGAAAGUUUAUUCAAAUUAUUUUGCUUGCAUUUUAACAUAGAAUAAAUGCUUUUGAUUUGAUAAAGUGUUGAUAGAUUUAUUAUAUAUAGUGCUGGAAUACUUUAAUAUUCUAUAAUAGCAUAUUAAUUAUUAAUUUUUAUGUUUAUUUUAUGCACUUAUAUGAUUAACAAUGCGAAAGAUUCAGGAUACCUUCGGGACCCGUCUUGAAACACGGACCAAGGAGUCUAACAUAUUUGCAAGUUAUUGGGAAUAAAAACUCAAUAGCGAAAUUAACAUAACUUAAAUUAUUUGGGAUUAGUUUUUAGCCUAUUUAUAGUCUAUUAAUUCAAUCCCGGGGCGUUCUAUACAGUUAUGUAUAAUAAUAUUUAUAUUAUUUAUACCUCUAACUAGAGCGUACCUUGAGCAUAUAUGCUGUGACCCGAAAGAUGGUGAACUAUACUUGAUCAGGUUGAAGUCAGGGGAAACCCUGAUGGAAGACCGAAACAGUUCUGACGUGCAAAUCGAUUGUCAGAAUUGCAGUAUAGGGCG